CGUUCGGAUACUGGGCGUAAGGGCGUGUAGGCGGGGGGACAAGUCAGAUGUGAAAUACUGCGGCUUAACUGCGGGGCUGCAUCUGAAACUGUUCUUCUUGAGUGUCGGAGAGGAAAGUGGAAUUCCCAGUGUAGCGGUGAAAUGCGUAGAUAUUGGGAGGAACACCAGUGGCGAAGGCGGCUUUCUGGACUACAACUGACGCUGAGGCGCGAAAGCUUGGGGAGCAAACAGGAUUAGAUACCCUGGUAGUCCCCGCCGUAAACGAUGGAUACUAGGUGUUGGAGGUAUCGACCCCUUCUGUGCCGGAUUUAACACAAUAAGUAUCCCCCCUGGGGAGUACGGCCGCAAGGUUGACUCUCAGUGGAAUUUGACGGGA
rnacentral:rRNA from 1 species